rnacentral:misc_RNA from 1 species
GAUGAAGAACGCAGCAAAAUGCGAUACUUGGUGUGAAUUGCAGAAUCCCAUGAACCAUCGAGUUUUUGAACGCAAGUUGCGCCCGAAGCCUUUUGGCCGAGGGCACGUCUGCCUGGGCGUCACGCAUCGCGUCGCCCCCCACAAUUCUCCGUAAAAGGAACAUGUGUUUUGGGGGCGGAUAUUGGUCUCCCGUGCUCAUGGCGUGGUUGGCCGAAAUAGGAGUCCUUUCGAUGGACGCACGAACUAGUGGUGGUCGUAAAAACCCUCGUCUUUUGUUUCGUGCUGUUGCUCGCAAGGUAAACUCUUUAAAAACCCCAAUGUGUCGUCUCUUGACGACGCUUCGACCGCGACCCCAGGUCAGGCGGGACUACCCGCUGAGUUUAAGCAUAUCAUAAGCGGAGGA